UACGAAGGACCCGAGCGUUAUCCGGAUUUAUUGGGUUUAAAGGGUGCGUAGGCGGAUUUACAAGUCAGUGGUGAAAUCUCCCAGCUUAACUGGGAAACUGCCAUUGAAACUGUUUAUCUUGAGUACAUUUGAGGCGGGCGGAAUGUGUCAUGUAGAGGUGAAAUUCUUAGAUGUGACACAGAACACCAAUUGCGAAGGCAGCUCGCUAAACUGUAACUGACGCUGAGGCACGAAAGCGUGGGGAUCAAACAGG
rnacentral:rRNA from 1 species